rnacentral:tRNA from 1 species
AGCUCGUUGGCGCAUUGGCUAGCGCGCCAGGCUCAUAACCUGGAGGCACCUGGAUCGAUACCAGGACGAGCUA